rnacentral:tRNA from 1 species
ACAGAUACAUGUGCGCAUGCACGUGUACACACAUGCAUGCAUACACACAUGCAUUUGUAGAUAUAUGUGUAGGUGUGUACACACAACAUACACAUAUGCAUCCACACAUACACAUAUACAUAUGAGGUGGCACGUUCAGCUUUCAAGAGGACCAUCAGGGACUUUGUCACCUUGACAACUUUAGCCUUGCCUUCUAGUCACCUUGCCGGAACACUUGUGCCCGUGUUUUUCUAGCACUGUCAUAAGAAUACUUUUACCUAUCAAGGCAACUGGGGGUUAGGAGAGCUUUUUGCACAGGAGGCUACUUGGCUUUGUUUGAAAACUGAUGAUACAUGAGGAUUGGGGUGGUGAAUCACUCACAUGUUUCUUCAUAUGAAAAAUGAGGACUGUGGGAUUCUCUGGCUGGAUCUCAGCACCUAGAAAUGGAUCUGGGCAAUAGGAACUGCUCAGUAUUAGCUACCGCUUUGGUUGCCUUCUCCUUGCGGAAAGCUGGCCUCUCACACUGAAUUUGUAUCAUAGGCACUCAUGAGGGUCUUGACUGUAUCAAUAUCUGAUGAGAGAUUUUAGUGCAGUUCUGUUAUCGUGGCUGAUUUGCUCAUUUGGUAGCUAGCAUCCAGCUUCUUGUGAACAUUAAAAUAAAAUAAAAUAGAUUAUGGAGGAAUAGAAUACAGAUACGUAGUAAGGUAUUAUUUUCCAGACAAAAUGGAUUUGGAUAAAAGAAUCUAAUUAAGAACUUGUGCAUGAUUCUUUUAAAAUUCUUUUGAAUCCAUUUUUUUUUUUUUGGCCUGUUUUCAAGUCUCCGAUUUUUGUCACCCUUCUCACACCAGGUCAGAGAGAUAGCUAAUGGUCAGAAGGAAUCUUCCAGCAAUGACCAUAGCGCUUUCUCCUGCCUGCAGAUGCCUCUUUUUAUUCAGCCUUUAUGGGAAGUAGCAGCACCAUCCAGUUCUCAGAGAGCAAGCUCUGGAGUAACUGAGCUAACCCCAGUUACCCCAGUGGAUUUACAGAUUGAGGUUACAACCCAGCAGGGUUCUCUUCCUGGAAAGAAUAGCCUUCCCUCUAAGGUUUCAAAUAGACCCUGGGUGAGGAAGGAGCCCUAAACAGCUUGAAAAAUUGAAUGCUCUUUGGGCAAAGCAGGAAGCCGUCCUAUGGAAGAGCAUCAUUUGAGCAUAAAUCAGGUUAUCAGGACAAACAGAGUGUUCAGGAGGUCAAGAUGGUUAAGCAGAGACCCUGACCAGAAUGUCCGUGGCGGAGAGAAACAAUCUUGUUGGGAAAAGGAUGACAAUAAUUGGGGACUUAGAAUAAAGGCUAAAAAUGAUUCAAAGAGAAUGCAAAAAGAAUCAGGCACAAAUCGUUUACUAUACUCUGUUAUGCAAAUCUCACCUUACUAUGUGUUUGUAUUCUAUUCCUCCACAAUCUUUAUUUUAUUUUAAUGUUCAAAGAGACUUGUAGGUGCCAAUUAAAUGAACAAAACAGCCAGAGACAACAGAACUGCCCUAAAAAAAGUCCCGCAUCAGCUCUUGAGAGCAGGUUCCUUAAAGGUGAACAAUAUUCCACAUACAAGGACUUUUUCAGCACCAUGCAUUAGAAAUGGAAGUGAAUGUUUAUUAUUUUUUGUAUAAGUUGGUUGAUAUGGCUUUUCAGCUUCCCUCAGUAUCAUUAUCCAAAUUUUGUAGAUGACACUAAAGCUCAGAGGAGUUAAACCAUUUUCCUUAAAUCACAUAGCUUUAAAUAGGAAAACCAGAUAUGAAAAGCAGAUUUUUUUUCUAAAUUAAAAAACCAAAAACAAAAACACGUGAGCUCUUGCUUUACCCUAGCACAUAGUCUUGCCAUCUGUUUUCUCCACACCAGGUGAUUCCUGUAACAUUCAUUCACAUAACAAAUACAAAUAAAUGAGUGGAUUCAUUCAUCAGAUAUUAAUUCAGAAUCCCUUUUGUGCCUUCCAGAAAUCUGGACCAUCUCACAACCCCCAGAGAGUCUCAGCUACAAGGAACAAGUGAUAAUGCCAUCCCACUUUUAUAAACACACACACACACACAUGCAAUACACACACAAUCAUUUAAUCAUUUUUAAUUAUUUAAUUAUUUUUUAAAAAUCAGUGACACUUUAGCUGGGCAGGUCUAGAUAGGUCUUCUUUGCUGGGACGUGUCUUUUUCUGUCCUGGAAUACCCUAAACUUCACAUUUUGGCAGCGUGAGUUUUCCCUUUGUGACUUUCUCCUUCUUCCCUUUUUUCCUCCUUCUUUGCAGAGAAUGAGUAGCCACUGCACCUUGCCCUGCGCCAUCAAUGAGAAGAUCUGCUCUUAGUAGAGCCCUGCUUUCCCGCUGAAGGCCCUGAAAUCACCUGUGUUCCAGGCCACCCACUAAGGAUAAACAAAGCUUCCCUGAUAUGGGGAAUUAGCUCAAGUGGUAGAGCGCUUGCUUAGCAUGCAAGAGGUAGUGGGAUCAAUGCCCACAUUCUCCAAGCUUUAUUAUUUAGGUACCCAAACCCGAGUCAGUGUCUGAGAGCAAGACACUGCUCUCGGUGUCUUUGGUUCAAGACAUAGGAGCAGCAACAAUACAGGACUGGUGACAGCUUCCUGCUGGCAUUCAGUAUAGUGUAGAUCUACUGUGUAAUUAAUUUUCUGUUUCUUCGAGGAGCUGUGAAACCAAAGGACAUAUAAAACUGCUCUUUUCUCCCUGUUUCUGCCUGCAGCUUGGUCCUAAAUGUGAGACAAUUGUGAAAAGUGGAGGACAGAGCCACCUGGUUAAAUACAGCCCCAGCUUUCUGGUGAGAGGACUGAAACCAAGAUGUGUCAAGUAACUAGAAUGUGCCUGGACAGAUACUGUAGAAAGCAAAACCAUAAAGUUGUUCAUGAGCUUGUGGACGCACCUGCCAGCUGUGAAUAAGUGGCUCUAAUCCCGAACAACUUACCUAAAAAGAGCCUGAGAGCUGAACUGUGCAAUGGCCCACUUUCCAGUCCUCACUGACCACUGGGUUGCACACACUUUGGAGAUCUCUGAACAGCAGUGUCAAGGCUUUCAAAUAGAGUUAUCUUUGAAACGACAACACAUGAAAGUCUGGUUGGUACUUGGAGCUUAAAUACAAGGCAAUUGUGUGCCUGCAAAAACAAAAAUAGCAAUAUUAUCCUUAAGAUUUCAACAAGACACAGUGUCUCAUCACAUAAUCCAAAGAAGUCCAGGUUACAAGCCCCACAAUAUUCAGCAUUAUGAAAAAACAGGGAGAUCUUAAUUCACAUGGCAAAGAGAAUCCUCGAAUAACAAUAUUGAGAGGACACAGAUGUCAAAAUCAUCUGACACAUACAUUAAAGCAGAUAUUAUAACAAUGCUCCUAGAAUCGGGGAUAACAUUCGUGAAGUGAAUGGAAAGUUGGAAAGUCUCACCAAAUAUUUCGAAUACAUAAACACCAAUUUAAACUUAAGAAUUAAAAAAAUGUAUUAACCAAAACUCUUAGGGGAAAUAAAAAGCUUAAUUGGAGGAUCUCCAUAAUCGAAUGCAGAAGACUAAGGAAAAAGUCAAUGAACUUGAAAACAGAACACGAAUACCUACAUAAUCUGAACUAUAGAGAGAAAGGAGGAUUUUAUUGUCUCUGAACAGAGGCUCAGGCACAAAUAAAAAAUAACAAAUCCAACAUUCACAUUAUUGUAAUCUGGAAAGAAGAGGACAAAGUGGUCUUUGUGGGAUAAAACUUUGAACAAUUAAUAGCUGAAAAUGGUUCAAAUUUGUCAAAAGAUAUAAACCAGAUUUUUAAAGUUCAGUAAAUGUCAAUCAGGAUAAACCCAAAGAAACCCAUAGCAAGGCAUAUCAUAAUCAAACUGCUGAAAACUAAGAAAAUACAAAACAAUUUUGAAAGCAGCCAAAGGGAAAUGAAAGAGAAACUACCAAAUGAAUGAUUGUAGAUUUCGCAUCAGGAACCAUAGGGGCCAGAAAAAAUGUCAUAACAUUCGGAAGACUGCUGGAAAAGAAUUAGCAAAGAUUUGAGAUAAGAAAAAUGAUACCAGAAGGAAACUUAGAACAUCAUCAGUGAAGGAACAAAAGCAGAAAUAGAACAUGUCUGGGUAGACAUAACAGACUAUUAUUCUUCCCUUGAGUUCCUUAAGGAGACUACGGAAAAGAAGAGUGACUAAGAUCUCUGAAGAAGGGAAAAGCUAGAUGACUGGGCCACAAGAGGAAAAAAAGCAGCAAGACAGAGAUUUGUUGGUGCCAACUAAAUGAGCCCAACAGCCAGUGACAACAGAACUGCACUAAAAAAAGUCCCUCAUCAGCUCUUGAGAGCAGGUUCCUUAAAGGUGAACAAUAUUCCACAUACAAGGACUUUUUCAGCACCAUGCAUUAGAAAUGGAAGUGAAUGUUUAUUAUUUUUUGUAUAAGUUGGUUGAUACGGCUUUUCAGCUUCCCUCAGUAUCAUUAUCCAAAUUUUGUAGAUGACACUAAAGCUCAGAGGAGUUAAACCAUUUUCCUCAAAUCACAUAGUUUUAAAUAGGAAAACCAGAUAUGAAAAGCAGAUUUUUUUCUAAAUUAAAAAAAAAAAAAAAACUUGAGCUCUUGCUUUACCCUAGCACAUAGUCUCACCAUCUGUUUUCUCCAUGCCAGGUCAUUCAUGUAACAUUCAUUCACAUAACAAAUACAAAUAAAUGAGUGGAUUCAUUCAUCAGCUAUUAAUUCAGAAUCUCUUUUGUGUCUACCACACUAGGCUCAAGACUUCCCAGUGUCUUUGUCUCCUCUCCCUCAAAUCUCUCCACCCAAUGUCUUGACAAAUACUGUAGAUCCUUCCUGCACAGCAUCACCAGAAUGUUUUUCUUUCUUUUCAUUCACCUCUGUCAUCAUCCAUGCUAUGGUGUUUAUGGAGGAUGUAUUCUGCAGCAGGAAGUGUGAUGGGCACUGACGCUGCAGAAAGACUCCUGUUGUCCACCUCGGGAGCUGACACGAUAAAUGCGGAGAAUGAGUAGCCACUGCACCUUGCCCUGGGCCAUCAGUGAGAAGAUCUGCUCUUAGUAGAGCCCUGCUUUCCCGCUGAAGGCCCUGAAAUCCCCUGUGUUCCAGGCCACCCACUAAGGAUCAAUAAAGCUCCCCUGAUGUGGGGGAAUUAGCUCAAGUGGUAGAGCGCUUGCUUAGCAUGCAAGAGGUAGUGGGAUCGAUGCCCACAUUCUCCAAACUUUAUUAUUUAGACCCUGGGUCUCCAAACACUCAGGUCUCCAAACCCAAGUCAGAGAACAGGAUGCUGCUUUGGUUCAAGAUGUAGGAGCAGCAACAAUACAGGGCUGGUGACGGCUCCCUCCUGGCAUUCAGUAUAGUGUAGAUCUACCGUGUAAUUAAUUUUCUGCUUCUUUGAGGAGCUGUGAAACCAAGGGACAUAAACAAUUGCUCUUUUCUCCCUGUUUCUGCCUGUAGCUUGAAUGUGAGGCAACUGUGAAAAGUGCAGGGCAGAGCCACCUGGGUAAAUACAGCCCUGGCUUUCUGGUGAGAGGACUGAAACCAGGAUGUGUCAAGUAACUAGAAUGUGCCUGGACAGAUACUGUAGAAAGCAAACCCAUAAAGUUGUUCAUGAGCUUGUGGACGCACCUGCCAGCUGUGAAUAAGUGGGUCUAAUCCCAAACAACUUACCUAAAAAGAGCCUGAGGACUGAACUAAACAAUGGUCCACUUUCCAGUCCUCACUGACCACUGGUUGCACACACUCCAGAGAUCUCUCAUCCGCAGUGUCAAGGCUUUCAAAUAGAGUUAUCUGUGAAACAACAACACAUGGAAGUCUGGUUGGUACUUGGAGCUUAAAUACAAGGCAAUUGUGUGCCUGCAAAAACAAAAAGAGCAAUAUUAUCCUUAAGAUUUCAACAAGACACAGUGUCUCAUCACAUAAUCCAAAGAAGUCCAGGUUACAAGCCCCAAAAUAUUCAGCAUUAUGAAAAACCAGGGAGAUCUUAAUUCACAUGGCAAAGAGAAUCCUUGCAUAACAAUAUUGAGAGGACACAUAUGUCAAAAUCAUCUGACACAUACAUUAAAGCAGUUAUUAUAACAAUGCUCCUAGAAUUACGGGAUAGCAUUCAUGAAGUGAAUGGAAAGUUGGAAAGUCUCACCAAAUAUUUGGAAUAUGUAAACACCAAUUUAAACUUAAGAAUUAAAAAAAGUAUUAACCAAAACUAUUAGGGGAAAUAAAAAGCUUAAUUGGAUGAUCUCAAUAGCAGUAUGCAGAAGACUAAGGAAAAAGUCAAUGAACUUGAAAACGGAACAAGAAUACCUACAGAAUCUGACCUAUAGAAAGAAAGGAGGAUUUUAUUGUCCCUGAACAGAGGCUCAGGGACAAAUAAAAAAUAACAAAUCUAACAUUCACAUUAUUGUAAUCUGGAAACAUUCACAUUAUUGUAAGAGGACAAAGAGGUCUUUGUGGGAUAAAACUGUGAAGAAUUAAUGGCUGAAAAUGUAUCAAAUUUCUCAAAAGAUAUAAACCAGAUUUUUAAAGUUCAGUAAAUGUCAAGCAGGAUAAACCAAAAGAAACCCAUUGCAAGACAUAUCAUAAUCAAACUGCGGAAAAUUAAGAAAACACAAAACAAUUUUGAAAGCAGCCAAAGGGAAAUGAAAGAUAAAAUACCAAAUGAAUGAUUGUAGAUUUCUCAUCGGGAACCCAGGAGCCAGAAAAAAAUGUCAUAACAUUCAGUAAAUACCAAAGGAAAAAUACAUUAUCAACCCAGAAUGGUAUGUGGAGCAAAAGUAUCUUCCAGACAUAAAGGCAAAUAAAUGCAUUCUCAUUGGAAGGUAAAUAAAUACAUUCUCAGUCCUAGCAAAACUGCUGGAAAAGAAUUAGCAAAGGUUUGAGAUAAGAAAAGUGAUACCAGAAGGAAACUUAGAACAUCAUCAAUGAAGGAACAAAAGCAGAAAUAGAAAAUGUCUGGGUAGACAUAACAGACUAUUAUUCUUCUCUUGAGUUCCUUAAGGUAUGUUUGAUGGUUGAAAGCAAAAAUUGUAACUUUAUCUGAUGCAGUUGUCAUUGUAUCUAGAUGUACUACAUACAUAAGAUAAAAGGGUAAAUGUAAUGGGACUAACUCUUGAUGAAGUUUCUAUAUUCAACUUGAAUGGUAAAAUAUUGAUUCUUAGUAUACUGUGAAAAGUUAUAUAUGUAUAUGGUAAUCCCUAGACCACUUAACAACCAGAUUGAAAUAAACCAAAACAAGAUAGACAGAGGAACAUAGAAGAAUUAAAACAAAGGGAAAAAAGGUUAAUAAAUUAUUAAAUAGUAGAUCUAUCUAAAAACUUAUCUAUAAUAACAUUAUAUGUAAAUUAUCUAAAUGCAUUAAGUAAAAACUAGAGAUCAUCAGAAUGUGUUAAAAAUAAAUAUGCUGACUAAAGAAAGCCACCUGCAAUACACUUAUAAAUAAGAAUAAAAGUUAUAGAGCAGAUUGAAAGAAAAGAGUGGGAAAAGAUACCUCAUGCAAGCAUUAAUCAAAGACAGCUGUGGUGUAUAUAUAUAAAAUCAGACAAAGUAGAUUUGAAAGCAGAGAAACUUUUCAGGAAUAAUGAGGCCUCCUAAAUAAUUAUGAUUGUCAAUUUUUCAGGAGAAUAUUGUCCCAAAUGUAUAUGAGGACACAGAGCUUCAAAACUCAUAAACAAAAUUGGAUACGCCAAGUAAAAAUAGAAAAAUCCAGUUAUAGUUGCAGUCAUUAACACUCCUCUCUGAGUAAUUGGAAGAUUUAGUGGAACACAAAUCAACAGACAUACUGGAGAAUUGAACCAUGCCAUCCAGUAAUGGACCUAUCAAUUUCAUAAUGCAAAAUAAAAAUUCAGGUAGAAAGCAAAGACAAAAAUUAAAAGAAAAGCAAGAUCAUGUUAUAAUGAGAAAAUUAAGAGUAGUCCAGUGUAUAGAAGGGUGCUAUUAUUGAAAGAGUUUGAAAUAGUGACUUAGUUAUUUUGAAACAUUUUUGAAGACGUUAUUUAGCUGGAAAUGACAGAAAGACUGAAAAUGGUGAAUGUGGAGGUGGAUCUUCCCUUGUCCAUAUUUAUCUUGUCUUCGUUUGAGGUCUGGGGUGUCUAUACUUCCUCUGAAUUACCUGAUCUUACUACAGUGUCUGGCACAGAGCAUCUCCCCAGUGAAUAUGUACUAAAUGAGUAGAAAGUAAUUGAUAGAUUCAAAAGAGUUGUGCAAGAAUAAUGUUCAUUAUUUGACUAAUCACUGAAUGUGGUGUUUCAAGGAAGACAAUGAAUCAAAGUUGACUUGAAAGGUAAGCCCAGGGCCAGACGUGGUGGCUCAUUUCUGUAAUCCCAGCACUUUGGGAGGCCGAGAUCAGUGGAUCCCUUGACACCAGG